ACGAACGCUGGCGGCAGGCCUAACACAUGCAAGUCGAGCCGACCCUUCGGGGUUAGCGGCGGACGGGUGAGUAACGCGUGGGAAUAUGCCCUUCUCUACGGAAUAGUCCUGGGAAACUGGGGGUAAUACCGUAUACGCCCUUUGGGGGAAAGAUUUAUCGGGGAAGGAUUAGCCCGCGUUGGAUUAGGUAGUUGGUGGGGGAAUGGCCUACCAAGCCGACGAUCCAUAGCUGGUUUGAGAGGAGGAUCAGCCACACUGGGACUGAGACACGGCCCAGACUCCUACGGGAGGGAGCAGUGGGGAAUCUUAGACAAGGGGGGCAACCCUGAUCUAGCCAUGCCGCGUGAGUGAUGAAGGCCUUAGGGUUGUAAAGCUCUUUCAGCUGGGAAGAUAAUGACGGUACCAGCAGAAGAAGCCCCGGCUAACUACGUG
rnacentral:rRNA from 1 species